UACCAGCACCCCGAGUGGUCGGGACGAUUAUUGGGCCUAAAGCAUCCGUAGCCGGUUCUACAAGUCUUCCGUUAAAUCCACCUGCUUAACAGAUGGGCUGCGGAGGAUACUAUGGAGCUAGGAGGCGGGAGAGGCAAGCGGUACUUAGUGGGUAGGGGUAAAAUCCGUUGAUCCAUUGAAGACCUCCAGUGGCGAAGGCGGCUGCCAGAACGCUACUCGACGGUGAGGGAUGGAA
rnacentral:rRNA from 1 species